rnacentral:misc_RNA from 1 species
GAUGAAGAACGCAGCAAAAUGCGAUAAGUAAUGUGAAUUGCAGAAUUCAGUGAAUCAUCGAAUCUUUGAACGCACAUUGCGCCCGCCAGCAUUCUGGCGGGCAUGCCUGUUCGAGCGUCAUUUCAACCCUCAAGCUCAGCUUGGUGUUGGGACUCGCGGUAACCCGCGUUCCCCAAAUCGAUUGGCGGUCACGUCGAGCUUCCAUAGCGUAGUAAUCAUACACCUCGUUACUGGUAAUCGUCGCGGCCACGCCGUAAAACCCCAACUUCUGAAUGUUGACCUCGGAUCAGGUAGGAAUACCCGCUGAACUUAAGCAUAUCAAUAAGCGGAGGA